GCCGAUGUGGCUCAGUGGCAGAGCAGCUGAUUCGUAAUCAGCAGGUCGCCGGUUCAAAUCCGGCCAUCGGCU
rnacentral:tRNA from 1 species